AGUGAGGAAUUUUCCACAAUGGGCGAAAGCCUGAUGGAGCGACGCCGUGUGUAUGAUGAAGUCCUUCGGGAUGUAAAGUACUGUCAGUGGGGAAGAUAUUGACUGUACCCACAGAGGAAGGCCCGGCUAACUACGUGCCAGCAGCCGCGGUAAUACGUAGGGGCCAAGCGUUGUCCGGAAUUAUUGGGCGUAAAGGGCGCGUAGGCGGCUUGGUAAGUCGGAUGUUAAAUCUACAGGCUCAACCUGUAGCCGCAUCCGAUACUGUCUUGCUGGAGAGUGGUAGAGGAAAGCGGAACUUUCGGUGUAGCGGUGAAAUGCGUAGAUAUCGAAAGGAACACCAGUGGCGAAGGCGGCUUUCUGGACCAUUUCUGACGCUGAGGCGCGAAAGCCAGGGGAGCAAACGGGAUUAGAUACCCCGGUAGUCCUGGCCCUAAACUAUGUUCAUUGGGUGUUAGAGGUAUCGACCCCUCUAGUGCCGUAGCUAACGCGUUAAAUGAACCGCCUGGGGAUUACGGCCGCAAGGUUAAAACUCAAAAGAAUUGACGGGGGCCCGCACAAGCGGUGGAGCAUGUGGUUUAAUUCGAUGCUACGCGAAGGACCUUACCUGGGUUUGACAUGCUGAUAGUAUUGAACCGAAAGGGGAUAGAUCCAUAGCAAUAUGGAAGUCAGCACAGGUGCUGCAUGGCUGUCGUCAGUUCGUGUCGUGAGAUGUUUGGUUAAGUCCAACAACGAACGCAACCCCCAUCUCUAGUUGACAGCGUUUAGUCGGUCACUCUAGCGAAACUGCCCCUGAUGAAGGGGAGGAAGGUGGGGAUGAGGUCAAGUCAUCAUGGCCUUUAUGCCCAGGGCCACACACGUGCUACAAUGCGGCGCACAAAGGGAUGCGAAUCCGCGAGGAAGAGCAAAUCUCAAAAACGCCGCUCAGUUCGGAUUGAAGGCUGCAAUUCGCCUUCAUGAAGCUGGAAUCGCUAGUAACCGCAGAUCAGCGUGCUGCGGUGAAUACGUUCUCGGGCCUUGUACACACCGCCCGUCACACCAUGGAAGCCAGAAACACCUAAAGUCUCCGGUUCGCCGGGGCCUAGGGUGGUGCUGGUGACUGGGGUG
rnacentral:rRNA from 1 species